UUUUGGUGGGGGAUGGGCUCGCGGCCUAUCAGCUUGUUGGUGGGGUGAUGGCCUACCAAGGCGGUGACGGGUAGCCGGCCUGAGAGGGUGGACGGUCACACUGGGACUGAGACACGGCCCAGACUCCUACGGGAGGCAGCAGUGGGGAAUAUUGCACAAUGGGCGCAAGCCUGAUGCAGCGACGCCGCGUGAGGGAUGGAGGCCUUCGGGUUGUGAACCUCUUUCGCCAGUGAAGCAGGCCUGCUCCUUGGUGGGUGGGUUGACGGUAGCUGGAUAAGAAGCGCCGGCUAACUACGUGCCAGCAGCCGCGGUAAUACGUAGGGCGCGAGCGUUGUCCGGAAUUAUUGGGCGUAAAGAGCUCGUAGGCGGCUGGUCGCGUCUGUCGUGAAAUCCUCUGGCUUAACUGGGGGCUUGCGGUGGGUACGGGCCGGCUUGAGUGCGG
rnacentral:rRNA from 1 species